UUACACUCCACCUGGCCUAACUUGCGCAGGCCGCGCCCAUGGACUGUCCCGCACCUUGCGCUUCCGCAUCCCACUCAGUCCCGCGCCAGCCCUGGCCUCGCCCGCGCAGUGGAUGCCGGUCUUGUACACGGAGUUGCCAUUUUGCCGCUAGAGAAGCCCUCUGGAGACCUGAACGCUCUUUCUUCAGUGGCCUAGCCUGCGGCGGCGCCGGGACUGGGUCUGGGCCAGGGGUCGGCACAGCCAGGACUUGGCGCGCGGCCCGGAGUCGCUGGUCUCCACCAGGCGCUGCAGGGAGCCCAGCCCCGGAGUGGGACCUGCGGGAAGCAGCUCAGGUCUCACAUGGCCUCUGCUGUCACUGAGCCUGGCUGUGCUGAGGGGGGGACAUUUACCCCCCAAAUGAGGAUUUCAUUCCACUCCGAGCUCCUCCCUGCAGACUGAGAGAGGACCAAGAUAUUAGAGUAAGAUAGCAGUUAUUAUUCUA
rnacentral:lncRNA from 1 species